rnacentral:rRNA from 1 species
GACGAACGCUGGCGGCGUGCUUAACACAUGCAAGUCGAACGGAAAGGCCCUGCUUUUGUGGGGUGCUCGAGUGGCGAACGGGUGAGUAACACGUGAGUAACCUGCCCUUGACUUUGGGAUAACUUCAGGAAACUGGGGCUAAUACCGGAUAGGAGCUCCCGCUGCAUGGUGGGGGUUGGAAAGUUUCGGCGGUUGGGGAUGGACUCGCGGCUUAUCAGCUUGUUGGUGGGGUAGUGGCUUACCAAGGCUUUGACGGGUAGCCGGCCUGAGAGGGUGACCGGCCACAUUGGGACUGAGGUACGGCCCAGACUCCUACGGGAGGCAGCAGUGGGGAAUAUUGCACAAUGGGCGGAAGCCUGAUGCAGCAACGCCGCGUGCGGGAUGACGGCCUUCGGGUUGUAAACCGCUUUCGCCUGUGACGAAGCGUGAGUGACGGUAAUGGGUAAAGAAGCACCGGCUAACUACGUG